rnacentral:rRNA from 3 species
CGACCCCAGGUCAGGCGGGGUUACCC